GAUGAAGAACGUAGCGAAAUGCGAUACUUGGUGUGAAUUGCAGAAUCCCGUGAACCAUCGAGUCUUUCAACGCAAGUUGCGCCCGAAGCCAUCAGGUUGAGGGCACGUCUGCCUGGGCGUCACAUAUCGUUGCCCAAUGCCUAUUGCAGUGCAAUAGGAAUUUCUAGGGCGAAUGAUGGCUUCCCGUGAGCGUUGUUGCCUCGCGGUUGGUUGAAAAUCGAGUCCUUGGUAGGGUGUGCCAUGGUAGAUGGUGGUCGAGUUAGAACGAUACCGAUCAUGUGCAUGCUCCCCAAAAUAUGGCCUCUAUGACCCACACACGUCUUUUGACGCUCAUGACGAGACCUCAGGUCAGGCGGGGCUACCCGCUGAAUUUAAGCAUAUCAAUAAGCGGAGGA
rnacentral:misc_RNA from 1 species